CAGACUAUGCCACCAUCUUGGCUCUACGGAUGAAAAAAGCUGCUGGUUGGGACUACUACUUGGGCACUGCGAGUAUGAACUCAGUCUGCCAAGAUCCGAAUGCUCGUUACUGCAAGCCCCUCCCCCUUCUCUGCCACAAUCUGAUUCCCAGGGGUCAAGCUCCACAGAUUCCUCCAUGAGGCGAGACUGGAGUGGGACUCCCAGUAAGCAACCCACAAUGCUGGGGGAGCUGGAUGUCCACCCUGGGCUCCCUUUUCCCACUGGAGGAACCACAGGCUCAGGAGAGCCCUCUUGGUCAGUGCUGCCCUGGCUGAGGGAGGGGAAUGCAGUCAACAUGUAGCUUCUCCUCUUACCCUUCUAAUGCAGUCUGUCUCAGUCUCUGUGGCGCAGGGGAGUGCUUCAGCCUCACUCCUGUGUUCUAGGAUUUUCACAAUGGUGUUUGUCUAUGAGUGUUGGUAGUUGUUCUUCUUUUGAGGAAGAUUAGCCCUGACCAUACAUCUGCUGCCAAUCCUCCUCUUUUUGCUGAGGAAGUCUGGCCCUGAGGUGAUAUCUGUGCCCAUCUUCCUCUACUUUAUAUGUGGGAUGCCUGCCACAGCAUGGCUUGACAAGCUGUGCCAUGUCCCCACUGGGGAUCCAAACCAGGCCCCGGUGAACCAAGGGCCGCCAAAGUGGAACGUGCGCACUUAACUGCUGCGCCACUGGGCUGACCCCUAAAAAGACUUUUAAAGAUCUAAUCUAAGAUUCUUUAUUACCAGAUGGUUUUAAAGAACAAACGUUGACUUUAUGGAACCUAUAAAGCUCCAUGGAGAUUACCAAAGGUUUGAUGGGAAUAUCAUAUUUGAGAAUAUGCAUAAAAGACUAUUAUUACUACAUUUAUGUAAAUCAUCUGCCAAGUUUAUUGAGACUAGACUCAUUUUACAAACAAGGUAGUCUUACUGUGAUUAUCUUUGGUAAAAAUGGAUGAUAUUAGAGAAAAAUUUGUUUCAAUAGAAAACUAUAAUGUCCCCAUGAUGAGAUUCUAGACCUGUUCAUUGUCUGAGAUUUUGUUAUAUACUUACAAACUGGACUAGACGCUGGAUUCUUCUAGUUUCCUCCAGUGUUUGGCUGCAACUCUUCAGACUAGCAUUUCCAAUUUUCUUCUACUCUUCUGACUUGCAAUCACUGAAAACUGAAAGGACCCUUUUCCCAAAGUCCUAAAACUGAAGGUAGAUGACUUAA
rnacentral:lncRNA from 1 species